rnacentral:rRNA from 1 species
UACGAAGGGAGCUAGCGUUGUUCGGAAUCACUGGGCGUAAAGCGCACGUAGGCGGAUUGUUUAGUCAGGGGUGAAAUCCCGGGGCUCAACCUCGGAACUGCCUCUGAUACUGGCAAUCUCGAGUCCGAUAGAGGUGGGUGGAAUUCCUAGUGUAGAGGUGAAAUUCGUAGAUAUUAGGAAAGAACACCGGUGGCGAAGGCG